UUGUACUAGGUUUUCUCAACAACUUCAAAUUCUAUCUUCAGUAUUCGCUAGACUGUGUAGUGGUAUUUCAACAAUUGGAUUUCAACUCAAGCGCAAUAAGGCAAAAUGUGGGACCAUUGUGCUCGUAAGUUUAAUUAUCUAUAAAAUUCAGAUCAAUUACUCAUUUUAGUUCCUUCAGUUUGUUAUGUUACCAACUUAGACCCUAAUAAAUUUAAAUUCCUAUUUUGGUACCCAAUUUUUGCAAUGUAGAACCAUGUUAUUCAUUCUGUCUUCACCCAUCUACUAAUGCUUCUCAAAUUUGGAUACAGGAAGGGUAAAUCAUUCUGGAAUUUACAAACAGAAUGGUAAGCAAAAACUAUUUGGGUACAACUAACAACCAUGUUGAUGGAAAAGAGCCAAAGAAUACUAUUGCCAAAACAGAUCCAAAAAUAAAGAAAGGGAAGAUGUGCCCAGAGAAGAAGUGGUUCACCCAAAGUAGAAAAAUGAAAGUAGGUUUAAUGUUUUCUAUAUUUUUUGAGACCAAUUAUAAAACUUUUGUUGUUUUUAAUAUACAUUGGUGGGGCUUCACUUUUGGUUUUAUAGUUUGGAGUUUCCUUCAAGAAUAAUUUCAGCUAGAUGUGAAGUGUGAACCUGUCUCAAAUGUCAAUUAGUUAGUGCAGUUUUUAUGUGUCAAUAAUGAUAUUCAACCACAUUAUGCCAAUUCGAGUGGAUGGGUCUAUCUUUGUUUUUCUGGUUGCUGUGUAUCUCACAACCCAUC
rnacentral:lncRNA from 1 species